rfam:Pelodiscus sinensis unplaced genomic scaffold scaffold5490, whole genome shotgun sequence.
GGUCCCAUGAUAUAAGGAGCAACACUCAGGACUCUGAAUCCUGCAAGCUGAGUUCAAAUCUCAGUGGGACUU